GGUUCAGGAUGAACGCUAGCUACAGGCUUAACACAUGCAAGUCGAGGGGCAGCAUGAGAUUAGCUUGCUAAUCUGAUGGCGACCGGCGCACGGGUGAGUAACGCGUAUCCAACCUUCCCCCUACUCAGGCAUAGCCCGGUGAAAACCGGAUUAACUCCUGAUAGUUUCACUAGAUGGCAUCUGACGGUGAAUAAAGCUCAGCGGUAAGGGAUGGGGAUGCGUCUGAUUAGCUUGUGGCGGGUAACGCCACCAAGGCGACGAUCAGUAGGGGUUCUGAGAGGAAGGUCCCCCACAUUGGAACUGAGACACGGUCCAAACUCCUACGGGAGGCAGCAGUGAGGAAUAUUGGUCAAUGGGCGCGAGCCUGAACCAGCCAAGUAGCGUGCAAGGAUGACGGCCCUAUGGGUUGUAAACUGCUUUUGUGCGGGAAUAAAGUCAGGGACGUGUCCCUGUUUGCAUGUACCGCAAGAAUAAGGACCGGCUAAUUCCGUGCCAGCAGCCGC
rnacentral:rRNA from 1 species